CCCCCCCCCCCCCCCCGGCCUGUUGCAAGAACGUGCGUCGUGCUGCCGAUCGGCCGGCUCUUGCGGACUCGGUUGUGCGCGCCAUGGCACUGGACGCGACGUCCCUUCCGGUGCUGUCCGUCCCCGCCCUCGAAGUCUGCUCGGGAACGCGAAGAACCGGGAACGGUGGCGGCGUUUCGUCCGCGCCGGGCGCGGAGGUGUCCGUGGACGUGCCGGUGCUGUGGAGUGACGAGGGGAGGAUGAAGCGGGAGCUGGUCGCGUGGGCCAAGGCCGUGGCGUCCAUGGCCAUCAGGGAGACGAUGCGCGCGGAGCUGACUGCCGAUUAAUAAGGCGGAACUUCCCUUCGUGCAUAGAGCGAGCCACAAGUCUGUGUGCUUUUGUCUCCUAUUUCCUUGUGCUGGGUCUUUUCUUUGCCGAGCAAACCUAUUCACGCAACCAAGCACGGCGGCCGCGGCGGCGGCUUUGUAGCGUGGUGGUGGCAUGUACAAGUUUUUUUCCCCAGUCGUGGUCUGUUGAUCAUUUCGGCAUGUACAUGAUUUUUUUUCCCGAAAAGGAUGCAAGAGAGAACUUGAGAUGUUUUGUCGCACAGAA